rnacentral:rRNA from 1 species
AUUGAACGCUGGCGGCAUGCCUUACACAUGCAAGUCGAACGGUAACGCGGGGCACCCUGGCGACGAGUGGCGAACGGGUGAGUAAUGUAUCGGAACGUGCCCAGUUGUGGGGGAUAACUGCUCGAAAGAGCAGCUAAUACCGCAUACGACCUGAGGGUGAAAGCGGGGGAUCGCAAGACCUCGCGCAAUUGGAGCGGCCGAUAUCAGAUUAGGUAGUUGGUGGGGUAAAGGCCCACCAAGCCAACGAUCUGUAGCUGGUCUGAGGGGACGACCAGCCACACUGGGACUGAGACACGGCCCAGACUCCUACGGGA